GGCAUACACGAAGUCAAGGGAUAUGCGCACGAUACGAGGAAAAAUGUGGCAUCUGCUCCAUUCUGAGUGACAAAUACGAGUUCAACGAAUCCCAGUUAUUUGUUUUACCAAAGUGGUCCUCCACUCGAAAAUAUAUAAAUGAUAAUGCUUGUGCCUAGAAAAAAAAAAAAACAAAAACUUCUACCUUCUUUGAUCAAAUCUGGUAUAAAAAAAAUGGAGCUUAAACGAUUCAUCAAACUACUGAAUUUGCUUCUAUUUGCAUUUUCUCUGUGUAUGAAUCCAACUUCUGCGGUUGGGGGUGCUGCUCAAGUUAGGUGCAUAGAGAGGGAGAGACAGGCUCUUCUCAAGUUUAAGCAAGGCCUCAUAACAUCCGACUCGGAAACUCUCUCAACCUGGGGAACUGAAGAAGAUAAAAAGGAAUGCUGCGAAUGGAGGGGUGUCUUUUGUAGCGACAGAAUUGGUCGAGUAAACCAACUCGAACUGGGUGAGCUGCAAAUGAGAGGUAAUGUUAGUCCUGCUUUGCUUGACUUGCGGCAUUUGAAUAUUCUUGAUCUCAGUGACAAUGAUUUCGGAAGAAGUCGAAUACCAAAAUUCAUUGGUUCCUUCAAGAAUUUAAGGCAAUUGACACUUCGGAACUCAAACUUCACUGGCGAAGUUCCUUAUGAACUUGGUAACCUCACCAACUUGCAGACUCUUGAACUUGAUGGUAAUGUAGGUCUGACAAUCAAGAACCUUGACUGGAUUUCUCGUCUCUCUUCAUUAUCAUAUCUUGAUUUGAGUUCUGUUAACCUUAAUGAAACCAAAUGGCUGCAUGAAAUAACAAAGCUCCCUUCCUUGAAGAGUCUGUUCUUGUCAAAUUGUCAACUACCCAAUACUUUGCCUGCCAUUGAUUUCUUUGCUAAUUCGUCUUUGCCCUCUCUUGAUUUCCUCGUUCUAUCCAUAAACGGUCUCACCUCCAAUUUCACAUUCCAAUGGUUGUUUAACUUUACUAAAAGUGCUAUUGGCAUAGACCUCUCUUAUAAUCAAUUAGAUGGUCCUAUUCCCGACACCUUUGGGGAAUUGGUAUUUCUUCAGGACCUCCGCUUGCAGGAGAAUAAGUUCCAUGGUGGGAUCCCAAAGUUUACAAUGAAUUUUAUUCAUUUGACGUCAAUAAAUAUAUCCAACAAUAAUUUAAACCAACCUCUUGUCGAGUUAUUCCAAAAUUUAUCCAAGGUAACGUCACUUGAAAAUUUGAUUUAUCGUACAAUCAACUUAACGGUGCCUUGCCAGACAUCACCAGAUUUUCAUCCUUAAAGGAGUUAAGACUCAACAACAAUCAAUUGAAAGCAUUUCCACCACAAACCCUCGGACAACCUUCGAGUCUGGUACAUUUGUACUUGUCCAAUAAUCAAAUCACGGGAUCAUUGCCGAAUUUGAGUGUCUUUUGGAAUCUCCUAGGUUUAUAUCUCGGUUCAAAUUCGUUGGAAGGUACAAUCACCAAUGACCACUUUGCAAACCUUACCCAGUUAAAAGACCUGGAUUUAUCUUUCAACAAAUUGUCUUUGAACUUGUCAUCAGAUUGGGUUCCUCCUUUCCAAAUGGAAAUUGUACACCUCAGCCAUUGCACUAUGGGGCCUCAUUUUCCAAAAUGGAUUCAGACUCAGAUCUCUCUUCUUGAGCUCGAUAAUUCAUUUGCUAGUAUAUCAGAUACUAUUCCACAAUGGUUAUGGAAUAUGCCUCGUAUGAUAACAUUUAAUAUCUCUCAUAACCAAAUUGGUGGUAGAUUGCCCGACUUGUCUUCGAGAACUGCUCUUCGAAGAAGCAUAGAUUUAAGCUAUAAUAAUUUUUCGGGGCCAAUUCCAUCAUUUGUUUUUCAUACAGUAGAAGUACGACUCUCCAAAAAUAGGUUAUCGGGAUCCAUUUCUCACAUAUGCAGAAUUUCCGGUUCUUCCUACAUCAAAAUCCUGGAUCUAUCUGAUAAUUACUUGUCCGGAGAACUUUAACGAAUGCUGGAUGAACAUAAAUGACUUGCGUGUUCUCAAUUUGGGAAAUAAUAGGUUCCAUGGUAGAAUUCCCUUCACUUUGGGAGCUCUAGAUCAACUUCAAACAUUGCACUUGCGCAACAAUAGUUUGACUGGUGAUUUGCCUUCCUCUUUGAAGAAUUGUACGAAGUUGAGAAUGAUUGAUUUGGGAGAAAACGAUCUAACGGGAAAUAUUCCUACGUGGAUAGGAACACAUCUAACAAGUUUGACAAUUGUUAGCCUUCGGUUUAAUAAAUAUCAUGGAAACAUACCUCCAACAAUUUGCCAUCUCACCAAUAUUCAAAUCUUGGACCUUUCUAGGAACAACAUAUCUGGCAAAAUUCCUCCGUGUUUAAACAAUUUUACUUCUUUGGCUCAAAGGAAUGGUUCAACUGAAAGCACUGAAGUUAUGGUUCCUGAUGAUCAAAUCUUUCCGUGUGCUUUUAAUCUCCAUUGGUACUUCGACGAUAUUUUGGUUCAAUGGAAAGGACAAGAGUCACGAGAUGGAAAAAUUGGACUUGUGAAAGGCAUUGACCUCUCUGGCAAUAACUUAGUUGGAACUAUUCCUCAAGAGUUUUCUGAUUUGAGAGGUUUACUUUUCUUGAACUUGUCAAGGAACCAUUUGACGGGAAACAUCAUUUCAGACAUUGGUGAAAUGGAAAUGUUGGAAUGGCUUGACUUGUCUAACAAUCAACUUUCUGGGAAUAUUCCGAAUAGUCUUGCAAGUCUAAAUUUUCUCAGCGUUUUAGACUUAUCGUACAAUAACUUAAAGGGGAGGAUUCCAUUAGGCACUCAACUACAAAGCUUUGAAAUUUCCGCGUAUGAAGGGAAUAGCAAACUCUGUGGGCUUCCUCUGCCAAAGUGUCCUGGAGAUUCUCCUGGCCCUUCUCAGACUAAUAGUAGCAAGGGCAACAUUGAAGAAGAUGAUGGGUUUAUCACUCGAGAGUUCUAUUUUUGUAUGACGGUUGGUUUCAUUACUGGAUUCUGGGUAGUUGUUGGUACUUUGUUCCUCAAGCAUUCAUGGAGAUAUUCCUACUUCAACUUCUGGAACAAAAUUGGAGAUUGGAUAUACGUGAGAACAACAUUAUAUGCGAAAAGAUUCAAAAGAAAAUUUCUGCAUUGAUGAAGACCAGAAGGUGCCACCAAUAUUCAAACACGACACACUAUGUCGGCAACGAUUCGACAACGAACUCAAUCCCAACACCUUAGGCAACAGAUGCGAUUCCCCACUAUUUUGUGCAUGUUGACAAUGUCACUCAAUGACUGCUGAUGAAAGUGCAGCCGUCGUAGUAGUUCUGUCUGUGCUGCAGGAUAUCGUCAUGGUGAUGUUGUACAGCAUUUGGUUAUUGACGAUAUUGAAGUGGUGGUGCUUGCAGUGGGGGAAGCUAGUUUUGUUGAGGUUUUUGUGCGACUAUGGCGAUGAUUUUUUGGAUCUUGUUGGUGGCGGUGAUUUUCUUGCGACGAUGAGGUGAUGGUGUCGUUGGUAGUCCGGUUAGAUGGUGGUGAUGUUGGUGGUGGUAGUGGCACGGCAUUUGCUGCGAAGUCCGGUGAGUUGGUGGUGAUUUUGUUGUAAUGGCAAGGUGGUGUUACCUCGAUUUACGCAUUUAUGUGUUUUGUGGUGGUCGUUGGUAACAAUGUGGUGUUUUCUACAAUAAGUUGAUUUGUUUGACGUCGUGGUGAUUGUGGUGGUAGUUCUGGCGACGACGAUAAUGGUAGUGGUGGUGGUGGUACUGAAAGUAGCGUUAAGAUGGUGGUUAUAAGUGUUGGUGGCGAUCACAAAUCAUUUGAUUGACUGUGACCAUUAAAUUGCUUAAUCUUUGAGAAAAA